GUAUUUAACGGGUGCUUACUCUGUGUCAUGUGCCCUUCUUGCUGCUGAACAAAGUGGAUAAAUUCCUUGCCUGAAAGUAAUUAAGGAAGAGGAGAAUGGAUACUGGAGAAAAUAGUGAUCCAUCACAGCCCACUCCUUUGGCCCUCCAUGUAGCCAGGCUCACCAUUUUUUCUCAGCAGUGGAGCGUAAUCACCACAUACCAACAACCCAAAGUCCUGUCUGGGUGCUGCAUCCAUCUCCAAGUCCAGGAUCUCUGGGUGAUGUGCUGUCCUCUCCAUCAAGUGACAGGGUGGCUCUUGCCUCCCACACCUACAUCCAGUAUGUAAUGAUGUUGUAGAAUGGUAUAUCUGCAAUAAAAUCUCUCUUUCACAAAUGGAAAA
rnacentral:lncRNA from 1 species